rnacentral:rRNA from 1 species
GAUGAACGCUGGCGGCGUGCCUAAUACAUGCAAGUCGAGCGAAUGGAUUAAGAGCUUGCUCUUAUGAAGUUAGCGGCGGACGGGUGAGUAACACGUGGGUAACCUGCCCAUAAGACUGGGAUAACUCCGGGAAACCGGGGCUAAUACCGGAUAACAUUUUGAACCGCAUGGUUCGAAAUUGAAAGGCGGCUUCGGCUGUCACUUAUGGAUGGACCCGCGUCGCAUUAGCUAGUUGGUGAGGUAACGGCUCACCAAGGCAACGAUGCGGAGCCGACCUGAAAGAGUGAUCGGCCACGCUGGGACGGAAACACGGCACAGACUCCUACGGGAGGCAGCAGUAGUGAAUCUUCCGCGAUGGAGGAAAGUCUGACGGAGCAACGGCGCGUGAGUGAUGAAGGCUUUCGGGUCGUAAAACUCUGUUGUUAGGGAAGAACAAGUGCUAGUUGAAUAAGCUGGCACCUUGACGGUACCUAACCAGAAAGCCACGGCUAACUACGUGCCAGCCGCCGCAGUAA